AAUUCAUAAACAGCAAAGAAUUUUAUAGUAUGAGUAUACCCCAGUAUUUGGGAUAUACUCAUGCUAAAAGUUGGCAAUUCUGGUUCUGACACUCC
rnacentral:miRNA from 1 species